GCCUCCUUGGACCUAUCGGUCGAGCUCUUCCCUUGAGUGGCCGUACCCACUGGGAACCAUGGAGUUGGUUCUCACCCCACGUUGUUUUGGGGUGUUUCAGGUUCGCACGUGAGCGGCGCGGCGGCGCGAGGAAAGGGCGUAGCUCCAUAGAUAGCGCCCUACCCAGAGACCAGAGAUAGCAAUACCCCGUCGACAUAGCCUAGGGGUUUGGGAAAUGAAAAGAAUACAAUGUAUCAAUUUGUAAUAAGCAAAUGAUGUAAUAACUUAAUUGCAUUUGGGAGUUGGAUGUAAAGUAAAUGUAUUAUUGUGAAUGCAUGUAAUAACAUAGGAUGUGUUAUGUUGUGAUACUUUCCUUAUGCAAUCAUGAUUGAUAUCUGUUCCUGGUUGGAACCCUUGCAAUGUUCAUUGUAUUGAUUGCGACGCC
rnacentral:lncRNA from 1 species